rnacentral:rRNA from 1 species
UACGUAGGGGGCAAGCGUUGUCCGGAUUUAUUGGGCGUAAAGAGCGUGUAGGCGGCUUGUUAAGUCUUGCGUGAAAGCUCGGGGCUCAACCCCGAGCGGUCGUGAGAAACUGGCAGGCUAGAGUGCGGGAGAGGAGAGUGGAAUUCCUGGUGUAGCGGUGAAAUGCGCAGAUAUCAGGAAGAACACCCGUGGCGAAGGCGGCUCUCUGGAACGUAACUGACGCUGAGACGCGAAAGCGUGGGGAGCAAACAGG